rnacentral:rRNA from 1 species
GAGCUUGCUCCUUUGACGUUAGCGGCGGACGGGUGAGUAACACGUGGGUAACCUACCUAUAAGACUGGGAUAACUUCGGGAAACCGGGGCUAAUACCGGAUAACAUUUGGAACCGCAUGGUUCUAAAGUGAAAGAUGGUUUUGCUAUCACUUAUAGAUGGACCCGCGCCGUAUUAGCUAGUUGGUAAGGUAACGGCUUACCAAGGCGACGAUACGUAGCCGACCUGAGAGGGUGAUCGGCCACACUGGAACUGAGACACGGUCCAGACUCCUACGGGAGGCAGCAGUAGGGAAUCUUCCGCAAUGGGCGAAAGCCUGACGGAGCAACGCCGCGUGAGUGAUGAAGGGUUUCGGCUCGUAAAACUCUGUUAUUAGGGAAGAACAAACGUGUAAGUAACUGUGCACGUCUUGACGGUACCUAAUCAGAAAGCCACGGCUAACUACGUGCCAGCAGCCGCGGUAAUACGUAGGUGGCAAGCGUUAUCCGGAAUUAUUGGGCGUAAAGCGCGCGUAGGCGGUUUCUUAAGUCUGAUGUGAAAGCCCACGGCUCAACCGUGGAGGGUCAUUGGAAACUGGGAAACUUGAGUGCAGAAGAGGAAAGUGGAAUUCCAUGUGUAGCGGUGAAAUGCGCAGAGAUAUGGAGGAACACCAGUGGCGAAGGCGACUUUCUGGUCUGUAACUGACGCUGAUGUGCGAAAGCGUGGGGAUCAAACAGGAUUAGAUACCCUGGUAGUCCACGCCGUAAACGAUGAGUGCUAAGUGUUAGGGGGUUUCCGCCCCUUAGUGCUGCAGCUAACGCAUUAAGCACUCCGCCUGGGGAGUACGACCGCAAGGUUGAAACUCAAAGGAAUUGACGGGGACCCGCACAAGCGGUGGAGCAUGUGGUUUAAUUCGAAGCAACGCGAAGAACCUUACCAAAUCUUGACAUCCUUUGAAAACUCUAGAGAUAGAGCCUUCCCCUUCGGGGGACAAAGUGACAGGUGGUGCAUGGUUGUCGUCAGCUCGUGUCGUGAGAUGUUGGGUUAAGUCCCGCAACGAGCGCAACCCUUAAGCUUAGUUGCCAUCAUUAAGUUGGGCACUCUAGGUUGACUGCCGGUGACAAACCGGAGGAAGGUGGGGAUGACGUCAAAUCAUCAUGCCCCUUAUGAUUUGGGCUACACACGUGCUACAAUGGACAAUACAAAGGGCAGCUAAACCGCGAGGUCAUGCAAAUCCCAUAAAGUUGUUCUCAGUUCGGAUUGUAGUCUGCAACUCGACUACAUGAAGCUGGAAUCGCUAGUAAUCGUAGAUCAGCAUGCUACGGUGAAUACGUUCCCGGGUCUUGUACACACCGCCCGUCAUACCAUGAGAGUUUGUAACACCCGAU